GCACUGGUGGUUCAGUGGCAGAAUUUUCACUUCCCAUGCAGGAGAACCAGGUUCAAUUCCUGACCAAUGCA
rnacentral:tRNA from 1 species